AGAGCGAACGCUGGCGGCAGGCUUAACACAUGCAAGUCGAGCGGGCGUAGCAAUACGUCAGCGGCAGACGGGUGAGUAACGCGUGGGAACGUACCUUUUGGUUCGGAACAACCCAGGGAAACUUGGGCUAAUACCGGAUAAGCCCUUACGGGGAAAGAUUUAUCGCCGAAAGAUCGGCCCGCGUCUGAUUAGCUAGUUGGUGAGGUAAUGGCUCACCAAGGCGACGAUCAGUAGCUGGUCUGAGAGGAUGAUCAGCCACAUUGGGACUGAGACACGGCCCAAACUCCUACGGGAGGCAGCAGUGGGGAAUAUUGGACAAUGGGCGCAAGCCUGAUCCAGCCAUGCCGCGUGAGUGAUGAAGGCCCUAGGGUUGUAAAGCUCUUUUGUGCGGGAAGAUAAUGACGGUACCGCAAAGAAUAAGCCCCGGCUAACUUCGUGCCAGCAGCCGC
rnacentral:rRNA from 1 species